rnacentral:rRNA from 1 species
AUUGAACGCUGGCGGCAGGCCUAACACAUGCAAGUCGAGCGAGCGGCGAGCGGUUGAGUAAUGUCUGGGAACCUGCCUGUAGGAGGGGGAUCACUGCGGGAAAAGGUUUCGAAUCCCGCAUACCAUCCGCUUUGCCCAGUGGGGAUUAGCUAGUGGGUGGGGUAACGGCCAACCUAGUCGACGAUCCCUAGCUGGACUGAGAGGAUGACCAGCCACACUGGAACUGAGACACGGUCCAGACUCCUACGGGAGGCAGCAGUGGGGAAUAUUGCACAAUGGGCGAAAGCCUGAUGCAGCCAUGCCGCGUGUGUGAAGAAGUCUUUCGGGUUGUAAAGCACUUUCAUCGGGGAGGCGUUAUCCGAAGAGGAAGCACCGGCUAACUCCGUGCCAGCAGCCGCGGUAAUAC